GAUGAAGAACGCAGCGAAAUGCGAUAAGUAAUGUGAAUUGCAGAAUUCAGUGAAUCAUCGAAUCUUUGAACGCACAUUGCGCCCGCCAGUAUUCUGGCGGGCAUGCCUGUCCGAGCGUCAUUUCAACCCUCGAACCCCUCCGGGGGGUCGGCGUUGGGGAUCGGCCCUUUCACCGGGUGCCGGCCCCUAAAUACAGUGGCGGUCUCGCCGCAGCCUCUCAUGCGCAGUAGUUUGCACACUCGCACCGGGAGCGCGGCGCGUCCACGUCCGUAAAACACCCCAAACUUCUGAAAUGUUGACCUCGGAUCAGGGAGGAAUACCCGCUGAACUUAAGCAUAUCAAUAAGCGGAGGA
rnacentral:misc_RNA from 1 species